rnacentral:lncRNA from 1 species
CUCACCAAAUUAGCAAAGAAAAAAAAAGAGAAAAAAAAGGGGGGAAGCGAGAGAAUGAAGGUAGUCUAGUCCACAGCCACCUCGCGGCCGACUAGUCUCAACCACAGGUAACCCGCGCCUCUCAAAAUAAAACAGCACACGAGGCAAUCCGCUCCAUAGCAAGGUCGCGACCUGAUAUCUCGAGCCACUGCCAGACCGUGACAUCACACGCGAAAAGAAAGGAGACAACCAGUCCACUCCACGGGAUGGACACGAUGCACCCAUAAUCAUCACAGCCCGGUCGCGACCCAUCUCAUCGCAAUUAAAGGCGACAGCCCAAGCCCUAUGUUCGGUGCUGCACUUUCUCCAGCCUUUUC